UUUUCUAUCUCUUCAGUGCCUCUUUCAACAAUGAAGAUCAAACCAGGUACUGAGGUAGUGGGAGUGCUCAUCUAGUUUUUGGCUUUUAGUUUUGUGCAAAUAUCUGCUGAGUGAACUACUUAUUUGAAAAUACAUCAUUGGUUAAUAUUCCCUUUUGCUCAUUGAAAUCUCAAAGACUACAGACCCCGCACAAGACAUUCUGACAUUCCCGUCUUUGAAAUGAAUGACAGCAAUGAUAAAUAUGGCUCACCUCCAGAGAUACAGAUCUCACAACUUCAUAUUUUUAAUAUAAAUUAUUAAUCUGAGAAGCAGAGAGAGAUAAGACCCAUGAUAAUCAAGCCAUAAACAGAUGCAUUUACUAGCUGAAUGGCCAACAAUGGAAUUCAACAAAUCCAUCUUGAGCACGGCAGCCAGGAGUGUGGUGCAAUUCCAUUAGAUGAAAGAGAUCUACACAUUCAGAAGCACAUGAUUCUUCCCCCUUCCAUGAUUCCAGUGGCCAAUAGGAAUUCUAAUUGGAACAGACAAAAACCCAAUACAUGUUUAAGCAGUAAAGUAUUCAUCAGGUCACAAAAAGAGGAGCAAGAGGAGCUGACUCUUUAUGUCAUAUCUUGGCCUUGUAAUUUGAUUCUUUGCCAACAUGCAUGGUUUUUCUCCAUAGGCUGUGCAUUGGGACAAACUACAAUAAAGCCAUGCCCUGACUGGAUGUGCCUAACAUUUGUCUGGUGCUUAAAGGAGUUGGCUGCAUGCGUGGGAUGGAGAAGGAUUCAACAUUUAAUGGCAGUUAGAAUCAAAUUUUUAACUCAAGAAGGCAGAAGGAAUCCACCUAAAUAAAUGUUGGAAAGUCACCAAAAAUAGUUCUCCAAGUCAGAAGCGGUGCAAAAGCUGCCUCAGCUCUUGGUGGAUUUUCAAUUUCUCCCAGCCAUCUCUGUUUCGCUAAAGGUUUCUGAAGACAGUGGGUAUGUGGCAAACUUCUGCAAUUCUAUAUUAAGAUAAACUGUUAGAUCAAUUA
ensembl:lncRNA LINC01192 long intergenic non-protein coding RNA 1192